CAAGUCGAACGAGAUCCAUGGGAGCGUUGCUCCCGGAAGAUCUAGGUGGCGAACGGGUGAGUAACACGUGAGAAACCUGCCCUGGAGUGGGGAAUAACUCGGGGAAACUCGAGCUAAUACCGCAUACCCUCGGAUGGUCGCAUGGCCGACCGAGGAAAGAUUUAUCGCUCUAGGAGGGUCUCGCGGCCUAUCAGCUAGUUGUGGGUAACGGCCUACCAAGGCAACGACGGGUAGCUGGUUUGAGAGAACGAUCAGCCACACUGGGACUGAGACACGGCCCAGACUCCUACGGGAGGCAGCAGUGGGGAAUCUUGCGCAAUGGGCGAAAGCCUGACGCAGCAACGCCGCGUGCGGGAUGACGGCCUUCGUGGUUGUAAACCGCUUUCAGCAGGGACGAAAAUGACGGUACCUGCAGAAGAAGCCCCGGCUAACUACGUG
rnacentral:rRNA from 1 species